AACGCACAUUGCGCCCUGUGGUAUUCCGCAGGGCAUGCCUGUUCGAGCGUCAGUACAACACUCAAGCCUAGCUUGGUCUUGGGCCUCGCCGGAAACGGCGGGCCUUAAAGGUAGUGGCGGCGCCCGCUGGGCUCUAAGCGUAGUAAUACUCCUCGCUAUAGGGACCCGGUGGAUGCUGGCCAGCAACCCCCAACUUUCUAAGUUUGACCUCGGAUCAGGUAGGGAUACCCGCUGAACUUAA
rnacentral:misc_RNA from 2 species